GAUGAACGCUGGCGGCGUGCCUAAUACAUGCAAGUCGAGCGAACGGACGAGAAGCUUGCUUCUCUGAUGUUAGCGGCGGACGGGUGAGUAACACGUGGAUAACCUACCUAUAAGACUGGGAUAACUUCGGGAAACCGGAGAUAAUACCGGAUAAUAUUUUGAACCGCAUGGUUCAAAAGUGAAAGACGGUCUUGCUGUCACUUAUAGAUGGAUCCGCGCUGCAUUAGCUAGUUGGUAAGGUAACGGCUUACCAAGGCAACGAUGCAUAGCCGACCUGAGAGGCGGGUCGGCCACACUGGAACUUAGACACGGUCCAGACUCCUGCGGUAGGCAGCAGUAGGGAAUCUUCCGCAAUGGGCGGAAGCCUGACGGAGCAACGCCGCGUGAGUUAUGGAGGUCUUCGGAGCGUAAAACUCUGUUAUUAGGGAAGAACAUAUGUGUAAGUAACUGUGCACAUCUUGACGGUACCUAAUCAGAAAGCCACGGCUAACUACGUG
rnacentral:rRNA from 1 species